AUUAUAUUAAUAUUAAUAUUAAUAUUAAUAUUAAUCUUUAUCUUUACCUACUCUUUACCUACUAAUAAACCACGCAUCGCUUCUAGUGGUACGUCGCUGGCAUUUUUGCACAAAAGUCCCUGUUUUUACUGAUAUUCAAGUCGCAGUCCUAUUUUAAGUGGUUAAUCAGGAAAACGCUUCGUUUUUACACAAAACACCCUACCAUUUGGAGUAAUCAACCCGCGAUCCGAACAGAUUUGUAAAAAAAAACACGGCCAGAAACUGACCACGAACUCCUCUCCCUCUCUCCCUCUCGCCCACGAACUCCUCGGCACCAACACCACCCGCGCCGCCGGCUUCCGGCGAGCUCCGACGCCGCGCAGCACGCCCCCAAGCCCCCCACGAUCCGCGCCUCCCUCCCCUCCUUCCAGAUUCUCCGUUCCCGGCCUCUAACGUCCGCUCGCAACCAAACCCCCGUGGCUAGGGUUUCGGGCUGGGCUUCGCCGGCGCGUCUCCGGCGGCCCCAGAUGCAGAUGGAGCACGCCAUGGGAGUUCCCCAUCCACCACGGUCACCGCCGUCAAGUGCUUCUUCACGGAGAUGUGAAGGACGCCAAGGACAUGCAGCUACUCAAGGUUUUAUCUUGUCCCCAUCCUAUCCCCUCCCCUUGCCGCCCCUUCUUCAUUGGAUGACCAGAUGCACAACCACAUAUGUUUUUUGAUUCAGGCUCAUAGGGUCUAGAUUUGAAUGUAAAACUACCUGACUUUACCAUUAACAGAUUGGAAGCACGAUUAUCGCUGCAAUUUUUUUAGUCAUGGCAUAUUUUCUCUUAUAUGUGUUUGUUGAUGAUUAAUCAUCAAAGGUUAUACGCGUGUUUCGUCCCAAGCACAAGUCCUUCUUUCACAUAUCCCUUUUGUCAUAUGUCUUCUUGAUGCAAAGAGGCUCAGCUUGCUACUGAUGGAUUGCAGCUUACCAAAUUUGAUUUGGUUUGGUACAAUGGAUGUUUGGUAUUGAUGUUGAAAGAAUACUUCACUUUCUGUAAUUUCUGAUGUUCAGAUUAUACCGAAUGAAUGCUACCAGAUUCCAUAUUUGUUCUAGAGAUAUUAUUGAUCUUUUCAUGCACCAAUUGUUCAAGUAGUGUCUUUCCGCUAAAAGCUUUAUAUUGCCCUGUGUGUCCUUUUGUCCGUACCUUUUUCCAGUAAUUUUCUCUGUUAACCUUGGGCCAGCUCAUUUGUGUGUGCUUCAUGUAUAUGCUCAUGCUUUUGAUGCUGCUGGACUUUGGAAUGCAUCCGCACAGUAACUUUCUGGGUAUGCUUGCAUUCAGGUUGUCAUUAGUUACGAGAUGGUACAUCAGUGUCUCCACUCUAAAGAUGAAUAUAAUACGCCAAAAGUAAGUGUCUGAUCCCAGCUUCUUUUAUUGUGGAUUGUGGGUACGGUGAGCAAUACAUUGAUUCACAAGUACGUCUUGCAGCAUAGAAAUUAUUCCGUUCAAAGUGAAUGACACGGCGUAAAUCAAACAUGCGCUGAGCCUACUAAUGCGACUACCAGUACUGUUGCACUACUAGAACCCAAUGGCAUGAUGGUGCAGCAAAUAUGGUUUUUUAUUAGAUAGUUUUCUGCACUGUAUAUGUGAUGAAUUCACAAAUUUAUGAUUUUGAGGUACUGGUGAAGGUAGAUUCAAAUGAGUGAUGCAAAUUCAGAAUUGCAUAGGUAGUGCCUACGACUGACUAAGGGUACAUGAGUUGGAAGAAAGUCCAAGCAGAAGGAACUCCUGCAGAUGCCCAGGCUGCUACUGUGCCUAUCUUAAGGGAGACAAGACGCUGUUGAGCUGUUUUUCGGUAGAUUUGAGCUACCUAGAGUUGAGCUAGGCACCAGACGAGCAGAAGCACAAACGUAGGAGGUAUCCAACAACGGCAACCGCAACGCCAUUCCACUUAAACCUGGAGACCAGAGAAAGGAUGCGAGUUCUAGGAAAAUUUACAUUGAAAUUUGUCACAUGCAAACUGGAGGAAGGGGCAAUAAGCAGAGAAUUCCCCGCAAGAUGUGAACUGCAUUGAUGCCCUCGGAAUUGAUGGCGGCGGCUCGACCAUGUCGUGGUGAAUGGCGAAGCUUCGAAACUGAACAUGAGAAAGGUGUUGACGCGCGGCUGGGAGACGUACAUACUUGAGGAAAUAUGAUUCAUAAGGACAUGUGUUCUAUUUCUGAAAAAAGAAGCUUCUCUGUUAGCUAGCAUCCCCGACGGUACUUUUAGACUGGAUGUAGACCAGUAGGGUCAAUUAAAAAUUGUUGGCUAUAGAUGACUUUAAGUUUCUAGCUUUCAUAAAAUGUAGACGUGUACGUACUCUAACAGUAUGUCGUGGUUGAUGAUGGUCCUAUGUACUGGUUGAAAUUAUCAUGUUGGAUAAUAUUGCUUAUAUGUUGUGGUUGAUGGUGGUCCU